CCCUUAGAUGUUCGGGGCCGCACGCGCGCUACACUGAAGGAAUCAGCACGUCUUUCUCCUUGUCCGAAAGGACUGGGUAACCCGCUGAACCUCCUUCGUGCUAGGGAUUGGGGCUUGUAAUUCUUCCCCAUGAACGAGGAAUUCCCAGUAAGCGCGAGUCAUAAGCUCGCGUUGAUUACGUCCCUGCCCUUUGUACACACCGCCCGUCGCUACUACCGAUUGGAUGGUUUAGUGAGAUCCUCGGAUUGGUCCCAGAGCGGCCUCUGGUCGUGCCGGAGUGCCGAAAAGAAUGUCGAACUUGAUCAUCUAGAGGAAGUAAAAGUCGUAACA
rnacentral:rRNA from 1 species